GCAGGCGGUCUGUCAAGUCGGAUGUGAAAUCCCCGGGCUCAACCUGGGAACUGCAUUCGAAACUGGCAGGCUAGAGUCUUGUAGAGGGGGGUAGAAUUCCAGGUGUAGCGGUGAAAUGCGUAGAGAUCUGGAGGAAUACCGGUGGCGAAGGCGGCCCCCUGGACAAAGACUGACGCUCAGGUGCGAAAGCGUGGGGAGCAAACAGGAUUAGAUACCCUGGUAGUCCACGCCGUAAACGAUGUCGAUUUGGAGGUUGUGCCCUUGAGGCGUGGCUUCCGGAGCUAACGCGUUAAAUCGACCGCCUGGGGAGUACGGCCGCAAGGUUAAAACUCAAAUGAAUUGACGGGGGCCCGCACAAGCGGUGGAGCAUGUGGUUUAAUUCGAUGCAACGCGAAGAACCUUACCUGGUCUUGACAUCCACAGAACUUUCCAGAGAUGGAUUGGUGCCUUCGGGAACUGUGAGACAGGUGCUGCAUGGCUGUCGUCAGCUCGUGUUGUGAAAUGUUGGGUUAAGUCCCGCAACGAGCGCAACCC
rnacentral:rRNA from 2 species